rnacentral:rRNA from 1 species
AACGAACGCUGGCGGCAGGCUUAACACAUGCAAGUCGAGCGCCCCGCCAGGGGAGCGGCAGCCGGGUGAGUAACGCGUGGGAACGUACCUUUUGGUUCGGAACAACUCCGGGAAACUGGAGCUAAUACCGGAUAAGCCCUAACGGGGAAAGAUUUAUCGCCGAAAGGUCGGCCCGCGUCUGAUUAGCUCGUUGGUGAGGUAACGGCUCACCAAGGCGACGAGCAGUAGCUGGUCUGAGAGGAUGAUCAGCCACACUGGGACUGAGACACGGUCCAGACUCCUACGGGAGGGAGCAGUGGGGAAUACUGGACAAUGGGCGCAAGCCUGAUCCAGCCAUGCCGCGUGAGUGAUGAAGGCGUUAGGGUUGUAAAGCUCUUUUGUCCGGGAAGAUAAUGACUGUACCGGAAGAAUAAGCCCCGGCUAACUUCGUG